rnacentral:rRNA from 1 species
GCACAGAGUUAGCCGGUGCUUCCUUUGAAGGUACCGUCAACACCAGUUGUUAGCUGGCUUUUUCUUUCCUUCCGACAGAGCUUUACAACCCGAAGGCCUUCAUCACUCACGCGGCAUUGCUGGAUCAGGCUUUCGCCCAUUGUCCAAUAUUCCCCACUGCUGCCUCCCGUAGGAGUCUGGGCCGUGUUCCAGUCCCAGUGUGGCUGAUCGUCCUCUCAGACCAGCUACCCGUCGUUGCCUUGGUGAGCCAUUACCUCACCAACAAGCUGAUAGGACGCGGACCGAUCCAUGAGUGCGAGUUGCCCCGCUUUCUUCCUUUAAAGCUAACUAAAAAGGAACGUAUUUGGUAUUAGCCCUCCUUUCGGCGGGUUAUUCCAAGCUCAAGGGUACGUUAUCCACGCGUUACUCACCCGUGCGCCACUUUCACUAAAGAGCAAGCUCUCUAGAUCUCGUUCGACUUGCAUGUGUUAAGCAUGCCGCCAGCGUUCGUU